AAGUCGUUAAGGAAAUAAACGCCCAGUGUUAUGUAUAUUAAAAAUAAUAAAUAUAAUCUAGAUAAAAAUUAACUUUCAAAGGGCUUCGGUUUACAACUUGAAUGCAUAUAAAUGGAUUGGAUAUACAAAGGAAUAUAAUUCUGAACUUCUACUCAGAGCUUAAUUUCUAAAAUUAGAAGUGCCGGAGCCUAUGGAAGACCAUCAGCAAAGAGGAACAAAAUGAAAGAAGUUAAUCAACCAGGACAAAAGAAAUUGCAAGAAACUAGAUGUUAAAUAAACCUUGGGUUAGUUAUUGUUUGGAAAAGUAAAUAGGCAUUUCUGAAUUUAUUUCAUUCAGGAACAAUAAAAGUUUAUGUAAUUAUUUUGUCUAAACCAAGACCUGUUACUGAAGUGUUUCAGCAAUGAAGAAGAUGAGAAUGAUAAGAAAGUAAGACAAAAGCCUGAAAAUUUUUAGUAGAACUCAAGAGGUAUGAAAGGAACCUAAAUAGCUGCACACAAAAGGAAAAACGAUUUGCCAUUGAAACAUUGUUUAACAUAUUAUUUUCAGUAAUUUUACCUAUACUUUUUAAAACUGUUAUCUAAAUAAUUGGGAAUUCCCAGGGUAUGAAACCUCACUUUGAAGUAUGAAUAUUAAUAAAUUAUUAUAGUUUUCGGUAAUUUUAACUAUACUUUUUAAAACUGCUGUCUAAAUACUUGGGAAUUCCCACAGAAUGAAACCUCUCUUUGAAGUGUGAACACUAGUAAAUUAUUAUAGUUUUCAAAUGCUUCAGAACCAUAUAAUUUCAUUGUACGUUUUGAUUUUGUUUAAAUAUUUUUUCUGAUAAAUUGCAGCUUAUGUUGAAAGUAUUUUUUGUUCAUAUUUUUGUUAUGAUUUAUUUUUCCUAGAAUUUUGUAACCAAUUAAAAAAAUCAUUUAAUGAUAUUUAAAAAAAUACAUGCAUUAUUAAUGUUUGUUAUUUUUGUUCUUUCCUUACCAUCAGUCAAUUAUUUUGAAUGUAAUGAAUAAUAUAUUGAAUGUGUUCUCCAAAACAGGUUAUGGAUCUUCUAGUGAGACAGAUUUUAAUGAAAACUGCAGAAUCAUGGAAAAGAGACUUUCUGAAAUCACAAGUGAAAUGUUUCAGUGUAGUAACUGCUUUGAAUCCUUUCAGCUUCAUACACAGUUAUUAAAGCAUAUAUGUCCUGGAAAAUUGAAAAAUAGCAUAGCAUGUCAAGAUUGUGGCAAAACAUUCACUCGUCAGAGUAGUUUAGUUGACCACAUGCGUCUUCAUUCUGGAGUGAAGCCAUUCAAUUGUGGCUACUGUGGAAAAGCAUUUGCAAAAAAAUACAAUUUAUGUGUUCAUAUGAUGCGUCACAAAGGAGAAAAACCUUUUAAUUGCCAUAUGUGUUCUAAAUCAUAUAUACAAAAAAGUGAACUUAAGUUACACCUUCUAAGAAAUCAUCAGUGGCUAUGAUUUUAGUUUAAAAUGUAAAAAUUGCGCAGUGUGUUGUGUAAUUUGAUAUUUCAUAAUGGUCAUUUAUCAUGUGAUUUAACUUUGCAUUAUAUUGAUAUUUUUUGUGAAAUUUUAAAUUUUCCUUUUGUCAAAUUACCAUUAAUCAACUGAUACCCAUUGGAACAUAAGUAGUAUCAGCUAUAUAUGAUCUGUAUAUGCAACAAUGAGCUAAGAAAAUUUUAAUAAAACUCUUUAUCUUAUGAAAAGAAAAUAUCAAAUUUUGACCAAACAUUUUACUUUUAGAAAAACAAGAAAAUUUAAAUAAUUGUGCUUGAACAAGAAAACAUUAAAAAAAUAAUGAAAACUCGUUAAAAUUUACAAAAUUUAGCAGUCAUAGAAAUAAAAUAAAAUGAGAAGUAAAUUGAAUUACGUGGCAUAAUCUAUGCCUAAAGUUGCCUCACAUUAUUAUUUUCUUCCACAUCGGUUGAUCUUCUAGGAGGUUCUAAGGCCAAGCAAUGGUUUUCAAAAAAGCUUUUUGAGGAUUAGGAUGUAAUUUUCUUAAAAUGUUUCCAAUUUAAGUAUAUGUCAUUAAAUCCAAAAUAUGGUAUUUAAUUCAAAAAAAAAAAAAAAAAUCUUGUGGCAGUCCUGUUUAUUGUGCCUGAAAGCUUGUUUAGCUCAAAUAAUAGUGAUAGUUUCCAUAUGCACUUUUCCUGUUAAAAGCCAUCUCAUAAAAAUCCUGAGAAUCAUUUUCUGGCACCUGUCUAAAUUUAAAAUUGCCAAUAAACCAUUUGACCAAGCUAAAAUGAAACCUGAUUUAAUACUCGUAAUUUUUAAGAAAAGAAAGAUUAAUAUAAGUCGGUAUGUGAUUAUAACAUGUGUUUUUGUUAAAAUGAAUAAGCAAGCAAAUAAAUAGAACCUGAGCCUUACAAAUUAGAGAAAAAUUUAAAAAAGAAUUCUCAUGAGCCUCCUAAAGUUCACCACUGCAUAUACCUCAAAAUCCAAAAAAAGUCUUCAGAUUCAAAAUUACAUGCGUACCAGUUACUGCUCGCAAAAUGAGUUCAGAGUGCCAGCUGAGUGAGACUGACCAUUAUAUGGUGUUGGACUUAAUGAUUCACUCAUUUUAUUUGUAAGAUUUCUGGGAAUCUCUAGGCACUAUGAGCAAAAGUGGUAAAUUAGAAAGAUGAAGGAGUCAUAAAACUCUAAUCCUGGCCUGAGAAUCUGAAAAUAUUGAUAGUUUGGGAUUAUCAAUGCUUUUCGCAUGUGAUAUAGAUAAACCAACAGACCUCAUUAAAAACUUUAGGUACAGACUUUUGAUUGGCUUCAGGAAAUGAUGUCAGAUUUAGUUGUAUCUGUCUAGAAGUAUUUGCAGUUGGAUUCCAUUGCUGGGCUGUAGCACAUAUACCAAUGUUCACUACAAGAAAUUUUGCCCCCCAGUUGUGGUGAUGUAAAGUGUGUCACCAAUGGACAGUAAAUCAGUGAGAGAACUUCUUGUGAAAAGUGGAAUCACACUAAAUAUUACGAAGAUCAAUGGCAGUUACGAGGGGAUCACAGCUUACUAAAUGCAUUGCGCCCAUUGGGAAAUAUGGCAGAAAAAGCAUUUCAGUGCGAGUCUGUUUUACUUGGUUUCAAUUUCAUCCACUACUUUUUGUGCUUGUAACUAACACUGAAUGCUAGCUAACUGAGUGAUUAAACUGGACAAUUCCAUUCUGCCAUAAAACACUUAUUCAUUAAGCAAGCAUCCUAGCUGGCUGGUUUGAGAAGGUGGAAGUAAAAGAACUAGAUUUAGCUAGCCCAAAGCUCUGAUCACAAUACAACUGAGCAUUUUGGGAAUGAAGUGAAGUAGUGGCUGUGAGUUUAACAUAAUUGCCCAAAAACUAACAUAGAGCUAUUCAUCAUGCUAAAGAAGGGAAUGAUGCAAAAUACCUUUAGAUAGUUAUUGAAACUUAGUAGGAGAGAUAGCAGAAGCUGAGAUGGCAGUAAAUGACAAACCUGUAUUUUACCAAUACCAUUUGCGCUUCAAAUAAGCAUAGUUCUAUGGGUGUCGGGUUAUUAUUGGCAAAUUUAAUCUUUGAAUUUAAUUCGAGAUAAAUUCAGUAAAGCUAUUUUACUUACUAAUUUUAAAUUUUUUGUUUAUUGUUUUUAUUAGAUUUAUUGCUGUAUUUGAUAGUUUGCUGUAAAAAUGUACUGUUGUUUCUAUUUUUAUCUGUGUAUCUGUGUUUAGAGUAUUAACAUGUGUUUUAACUAUUACAUAAAUUAAUUUUAUUGUUGACUUUGAUGGACUAAGCUGGAAUAAUGUCAUCUGACAAGAGCUGCAGUGUACCUCUAAAGGGCCGUUCAGAUUAGGGUUUAUCUGAGCUAAUGGAGACAUCUGACGUAGUUGACCUAUCUCCAAAACCAGUUUUUUCCCAUAGGGUAGCAAGUUGAAAAAUCUGAACUGCAUGCAUAGCGGAGCUAGUUGACAUAUAAAACUGAUUCCAUUAGCUCAGGUAAACCCCAGUCUGAACAGCCCUUAAGUGUUCUGCAAAUUUCAGAGUAAUGAUUUAGUUUGAUUUGCAUUAAUAUAUUUUUGAAUGAGUAUAAACUAAUUAGUCACAUUAGUAGCUAAUUAAUUUUUGUCUAUUAAAAAGCUAAAUACAACUUAAUUUGUAUUUGCAGUUUUAUACUUUAACUGGUCAGGUAGUAGUUUAUAGCUAGGCUAUAUGUAUAAGAGUGAAAAAUUUACUAUUUAUGAUGUUUUUCAUGAAAUCUUGUUCAAAUUUGUUUUUAUAAAAUUAAGUAAAACCUCUAAUUGUAAAAUUUUAUUUUUUUAUCUGAAAAUUCAAUAGUGCAUAAAA